rnacentral:rRNA from 1 species
UACGUAGGGGGCAAGCGUUGUCCGGAAUCAUUGGGCGUAAAGAGCGUGUAGGCGGUCCUGUAAGUCCGCUGUGAAAGUCCAGGGCUCAACCCUGGGAUGCCGGUGGAUACUGCUGGGCUAGAGUACGGAAGAGGCGAGUGGAAUUCCCGGUGUAGCGGUGAAAUGCGCAGAUAUCGGGAGGAACACCAAUUGCGAAGGCAGCUCGCUGGGACGUCACUGACGCUGAGACGCGAAAGCGUGGGGAGCAAACAGG